AGCAGAGUAGCCUAGUGGAUAGAGUACAGGCCUGGGAGUCAGAGGGACCUGGGUUCUAAUCCCAGCUCCGCCA
rnacentral:tRNA from 1 species